rnacentral:tRNA from 1 species
ACCUGGUUGGCUCAGUGGUUGAGCAUCUGUCUUUGGCUCGGGUUGUGAUCCUGGGGUCCUGGGAUCGAGUCCCACAUCAGGCU